GAUUUCACGACCUAUAAAUAAUUUGUGUAAAUUAAAAGUAUGCACUGAAGAAAUGGAACUACUCAGAAAACUAUUUCAAUUUUUGGAUUUAUUAAAAUAUUAGCUAAAAGCAAAGAGAAACUGAGAAACACCUGGUAGAUGGUGAUUAGAUUGGAUUGAGAAGCCCUACAUGCCACCAUGCUUCCGUACACAUCUACCUAUCUGCUAAUUGGUAAACGUGAAUAUAUGGCACGUGAGGUACACAGUCUAUACAAUCUUAAUGAUAUAUCAGCAGUCAAAUACAUCACGCUAUCUGCUGAUGUGAUAACACGCAAGGUCAAGUAAGCCACGAGACGUACACCACUGCCAAAUCUAAAGAAUUUUUUGAGAAAUAUUCGAUCGGUCGACAUGACAUCUGCUUGGAGAUCGUUUAAACAAUAUUACACCAAACACAACAACUAAUGGAUUAGAUUGAGAAACCAGUAC